rnacentral:lncRNA from 1 species
UGAAUGUACACUCUAAAAUAUGUCUAUAUAUAUCCGUAUGUAGUUUAUAGUGCAAUCUCUAAAAAGUCUUAUUAUAUUUAGGAACGGAGGGAGUACUGUGCAUCCUUAUUUCAAGCAGCAGCACCGCCACCAAUUCGAGGCCUACUGCUAGCGCUAGCAGUAAAUGGUUGGCUCGAUCACUGCUCUGUUUUUGUAUGCAGUUUCUGGAGCAGCGGCAGCAAAUCGCGCUUGGCGAACUCGGCGAUGCGGUCGACGUCCGGGAUGACCUCCUUGGCGGCGUCGAGCGCGGCAAAGCGCUCAGCCCAGGCCGCCAGCAACGGGGUCCGGGCGGCGUCCAGGAGGUCCACGCCGGCCACCGCGUGGAACGCGCGCAUCCACGCGACGUACCCACCCAGCGCGAUGUCCACGUACCCCGGGGCGUCGCCGCCGAAGAAGGCCUUGCCCUUGGAGCACUCGCCGAACGCGCCCUCCAUCUUCUGCAGCGCCGCCGCCGCGGCUUCCGUCGCCGCCGCCCUCUCCUCGUCCGUCGUCCCCGCGAACGCCUUGAUCCACGAGGCAAAGAACUGCACGGUCGGACGCAAAGGAUCUAUGAUUGAUUAAGGAGCUGAGAGAGACUAGCCUGCAAUUGGAUCUGAUGCACCUAGCUAGUAAUUCGUAGUACGUACGUGGUCGUCGGCGUAGGCGGCCCAGAAGCGGGCGACGGCGCGGUCGUGGGGGUCGGCGGGGAGGAGGGCGGGGCCGGAGCCGGAGCCGGGGAAGGCCUCGUCGAGGUACUGCACGAUGAGCAUGGACUCGCAGACGGGCUUGCCGCCGUGGAGGAGCACGGGGACCUUGGCGUGCACGGGGUUGGAGGCGAGGAGGAGGUCGCUCUUGCUGGUGAGGUCCUCCUCGGCGUACUCGUAGCCGGUGAUCCCCUUGAGGUGCAGCGCGACCCGCGCCCGGUGCACGAACGGGCUCGCCCAGAACCCCAGCAGCUUGAGCUCGUCGUCACUCCCUCCUCCGGCCGCCAUGUCGGACGGACUGAUUUCUC